rnacentral:misc_RNA from 1 species
UCAAACUUGGUCAUUUAGAGGAAGUAAAAGUCGUAACAAGGUUUCCGUAGGUGAACCUGCGGAAGGAUCAUUCAAAAUAAAAGUGAAUUUAUGGCACUUUUAAAAAAAAAUCCAUAUCCACCUUGUGUGCAAUGUAUGAGAAAGAAAAGAGAGGCACGCUUCUCUUUUCUUUUUUCUCUAUAUCAUAUAUCAACUCUUUGCUUUGAACCAGUUUGUCUGAAAUAAACAUAUUCUUUUGAAUAACUUAAUUCAAAAAAUACAACUUUCAACAACGGAUCUCUUGGCUCUCGCAUCGAUGAAGAACGCAGC